UACGAAGGGUGCAAGCGUUACUCGGAAUUACUGGGCGUAAAGCGCACGUAGGCGGCUUUGCAAGUCAGAGGUGAAAGCCCGGGGCUCAACCCCGGAAUUGCCUUUGAGACUGCAUCGCUAGAAUUGUGGAGAGGUAAGUGGAAUUCCGAGUGUAGAGGUGAAAUUCGUAGAUAUUCGGAAGAACACCAGUGGCGAAGGCGACUCACUGGACACGUAUUGACGCUGAGGUGCGAAAGCGUGGGGAGCAAACAGG
rnacentral:rRNA from 1 species